rnacentral:rRNA from 1 species
UAGUCAUAUGCUUGUCUCAAAGAUUAAGCCAUGCAGGUCUAAGUAUAAGCCGAAAUAAAGUGAAACCGCGAAUGGCUCAUUACAUCAGUUAUGGUUCCUUAGAUCUUCGGUAUCCUACUUGGAUAACCCUGGAAAUUCUAGAGCUAAUACAUGCGUAUGUAGCCCUGACCUUCGGGAACGGGCGUUUUUGUUAGACCAAAACCAAUCAGGGAGCAAUCUCUGGCAAUUUGGUGAGUCUGAACAACCUUGAGCGGAUCGCACGGUCUUGUACUGGCGACAACUCUUUCAAAUGUCUGCCUUAUCAACUUGAUGGUAGGUUAUGUGCCUACCAUGGUGAUAACGGGUAACGGAGAAUCAGGGUUCGAUGCCGGAGAGGGAGCCUGAGAAACGGCUACCACAUCCAAGGAAGGCAGCAGGCACGCAAAUUACCCACUCCCGGCACGGGGAGGUAGUGACGAAAAAUAACAAUACGGGACUCAUCCGAGGCCCCGUAAUUGGAAUGAGUACACUUCAAAUCCUUUAACGAGGAUCCAUUGGAGGGCAAGUCUGGUGCCAGCAGCCGCGGUAAUUCCAGCUCCAAUAGCGUAUAUUAAAGUUGCUGCGGUUAAAAAGCUCGUAGUUGGAUCUCAGUUACGGGCAGGUGGUUCACCUCACGGUGCUACUACCUGGUCCGGACCUAUUGCUGGUGCCCCCUAGGUGCCCUUCAUUGGGUGCCUGGGGAGACCAGAGCGUUUACUUUGAAAAAAUUGGAGUGCUCAAAGCAGGCGAAUGCCUGAACAGUCGUGCAUGGAAUAAUGGAAAAGGGCCUCGGUGCUAUUUUGUUGGUUCUCGGCACUCGAGGUAAUGGUUGAAGGGGACAGACGGGGGCAUUCGUAUUGCGACGUUAGAGGUGAAAUUCUUAGAUCGUCGCAAGACGGACUACUGCGAAAGCAUUUGCCAAGAAUGUUUUCAUUAAUCAAGAACGAAAGUCAGAGGUUCGAAGGCGAUCAGAUACCGCCCUAGUUCUGACCUUAAACGAUGCCAACUGGCGAUCCGUCGGGGGUAAUUCCAUGACCUGACGGGCAGCUUCCGGGAAACCAAAGUUUUUGGGUUCCGGGGGAAGUAUGGUUGCAAAGCUGGAACUUAAAGGAAUUGACGGAAGGGCACCACCAGGAGUGGAGCCUGUGGCUUAAUUUGACUCAACACGGGAAACCUCACCAGGCCCAGACACUAGAAGGAUUGACAGAUUGAGAGCUCUUUCUUGAUUUGGUGGUUGGUGGUGCAUGGCCGUUCUUAGUUGGUGGAGUGAUUUGUCUGGUUAAUUCCGAUAACGAACGAGACUCUGGCCUACUAAAUAGAUGAUGGAUCUUUGAGUCCAUUAUGUCUUCUUAGAGGGACAAGGCAGCUCCAAGCUGCGUGAAAUGGGGCAAUAACAGGUCUGUGAUGCCCUUAGAUGUUCUGGGCCGCACACGCGCUACACUGAAGGAGACAACGUGUUUGUCUGGCUCGAAAGAGUCGGGUAACCCGUUUAAUCUCCUUCGUGCUGGGGAUUGAGGUUUGCAAUUGUCCCUCAUGAACGAGGAAUUCCCAGUAAGUGCAAGUCAUAAGCUUGCGCUGACUACGUCCCUGCCCUUUGUACACACCGCCCGUCGCUACUACCGAUUGAAUGAUUUAGUGAGGACUUCGGACUGAGACCGAUGCGGCUUUCGGGUUGCGUCGGUAUUUUGGAAAGAUGUCCAAACUGUAUCAUUUAGAGGAAGUAAAAGUCGUAACAAGGUUUCC